rnacentral:other from 2 species
AACUACCUGGAAUGUUCGAUAUUCUUACCAAUUUUGAACCUACAUUAGACAACAGGGAUUCCAAUAUUUUCAGGCGGAUGUCAGGCCUCCAUUGAGUGGAAGGCAGAUGUCUGAGUGAGGUUGCCCACCUAGCUUUGCUAGGCGUCAAUAAGUAAGAGACGGCAUUUUGGGGCUACA